rnacentral:lncRNA from 1 species
AUUUCUACCUCAACUUGCUUGACUGGGGAAGUGCCAAUGUCUUAGCCAUAGCCUUGGACCACACUGUCUACUUGUGGGAUGCUUCCACUGGUUCUACAUCUGAGCUUGUGACCAUUGAUGAAGAGAAGGGACCUGUCACAAGUAUCAACUGGGCUCCUGAUGGUCGUCAUGUUGCAAUUGGACUCAACAACUCUGAAGUCCAGCUCUGGGAUUCUGCUUCCAACCGUCAAGUAAUUACUCAAAUCUAUUUCUCUUCUGAUUAGAUAUAAUGCUGUCUUGUUGUCAUGUUUUAACCCUUGACCUGCCGUGGUGAACUUUUAUGCAGCUGAGAACAUUGAAUGGUUGCCACCAAUCAAGAGUAGGAUCAUUGGCAUGGAACAAUCACAUCUUAACAACGGGAGGAAUGGAUGGACAGAUUGUCAACAACGAUGUACGGAUCAGAUCACAUAUUGUGGAAACUUACAGGGGUCACACUCAAGAAGUUUGUGGUCUGAAGUGGUCAGGAUCUGGACAGCAACUAGCUAGUGGUGGCAACGACAAUGUGGUGCACGUAUGGGAUCGUUCUGUCGCCUCCUCAAACUCAACCACGCAAUGGCUGCACAGGCUUGAGGAACAUACAUCUGCUGUGAAAGCUCUCGCUUGGUGCCCUUUCCAAGCAAAUUUGCUUGCAACUGGUGGUGGUGGAGGAGACAGGACGAUCAAGUUCUGGAAUACUCAUACCGGAGCUUGCUUGAAUUCAGUAGACACUGGUUCCCAAGUUUGUUCGUUGUUAUGGAGCAAGAAUGAAAGAGAGUUGCUUAGCUCACAUGGAUUUACACAGAAUCAGCUUACUCUUUGGAAGUACCCAUCCAUGGUGAAAAUGGCUGAGCUGACUGGUCAUACAUCGAGAGUCCUUUAUAUGGCUCAGGUAAAUACAAAUCAAAUCUUCUUCAUCUUUAGCAGCUUUGUGUUGAGGUUCUUUGAUCCUAAAAGUUGUGGUGUGUGUUGUAUAUCUUACAGAGUCCGGAUGGUUGUACCGUGGCUUCAGCAGCAGGAGAUGAGACUCUGAGGUUUUGGAAUGUGUUUGGAGUACCAGAGACCGCCAAAAAGGCAGCUCCAAAAGCUGCUCCGGAGCCAUUUUCUCAUGUGAAUCGUAUUCGUUGAAAUUGUGAAGACAAAACCCAUUGACAGUUGUUAAUACAGUUAUACAGAAGCAAAAAAAAUCAUCUUUUUUUCCGGAUUCAUUCUUCAUGAAUUGUAUUGAGAAGAAAGGAGUUGUACAAUUUUAUACAGUAUUCGUUAAUUAUUGAGUCAAACGUGAUUACUAUGCUGAAUAGAAAAUAUUUUAUUUUACAUGUGUUCUGAUGAUACAAGAGGAAGUACUGAAGAAGGAUAAGUCUUGUAACUCUCCACAUUAAUGUUAUCACCCUACUAUGCACACUUUACAGUUUAUACAGUUAGAAAUCUUGAACCCACAUUAAUCUUAUCACACUACUAUUAUAAACACUUAAUAUAGUUAGGAAUUCUAUAUAUAGUUUAUCAAUCUCAAUUCUCAAGUAAUCUACCAUGAAUAUUGUAUUUUUAUGCGAGUAUUCUCGAGGGUAAUACGUGAAUUGUAUAAACUAUAAAUCUAUAAUAAUACGAAAAUUGGUAUUUUUUAGGUUUAAAACAAAAUAUGAUCCGCAAAAAACGUAGAUAUUAUAAAUGUUAAAUAGUUUUUGUGGAUAGUAUCUAGUUUACAAUAGACGAUAACUGGUUAAUGAUGUUGAUAUUUGUUUACUUUUUGUAAUUUUGUAUGAAAUUUAUUUUCUAUUUUUUGUAUUGUUUAUAAUAACUCUAGAUUGAAGGGACAUGUGAAAUUUAUGAAUAACGUACUUAUUUAUUUAAAAAAUCCAACAAAUUAUAGCCUAAAUAUUAUUCGUUUAGACAAAAAAAAAUGUUAUAUCAUUUCUAUAGCAGAGAAUUUGUAAUCAAAUGAACAAAGUAAUGGGCUUCCUUACACACUUGUGAGUUAACAAAAAUCACAAUCGGUUGGUUUUGCUUUGGUACGGUAAGAUUUCAAAGAAUUAUUCACCAGUAAUUAUUUUUUUGGAAAAUAAAAUACCAAUAAGCAUUUUUUAAUUUUUUUUGUGGAUAUACAAAUAUUAAAAUGAGAUCAGUAGAUUGUUUUUGUUGCCUAAACGUAGCCGUCUCCGGUACAGAGAGGGAGAGGGCAUCUCCCGUCAACAUAAUUCUCAAACGGCUCUCUCUCUCUCUCUCUCUCUCUCUCAGGAAUAUAGCCGUUACCAACUUUCCGAUUAUAGAAUUAGACUCUGCGAAACCCUAAAAAUUGAGAGACUCCCCUGCUUUCAUAUAAAUAUCCCCAAGUUUCGUACUUUCUCAAUCACUUCUCUCUGCUCUCUCCCUCCUCUCUCAACAUCAUCAGCUCUUCGCUCUUACACUCUCGCGCUUUGCUCUCUCUACUCGAAUUUGCUAACGUUUUCCUACUCUGCAGGCCUUACUCUGAUUAAUUUCGUUUAAUCUUCAGCUUAAAUCUUCUUUCGUAUAUCCAUUGCUUUUGUGUUUUCUAUUUGUUUGGGAUUUUUCUUUGUGUUUGUUUGUUGAUAAUGGAUACAGGUUUGAAUCGGUGCCCACUUCAAGAACACUUUCUCCCCAGGAAAAGUUCCAAGGAAAAUGUGAGUGUUUCGAAUCUACCACUUUCAUUCAUUCAGGACCUUUUCCAUUAUGAUUUUGUGUUUUCGAAUCAAAUUCUGUUUUACCGAUAUUGAUAUGUCUCUCAAUAUUUCCUCGUGAAUUAGAUUUGGACGCACGAAUUGUUGAUUCUGUUUUUUCUUUUUUUUUGGGUUUUGUUAUAAGAGAAAUGAUUAAUUUGUUCUUGCGUAAAUUUGAUUUAUGGUAUUGAUUGAAAUUGUACUGAUUUGCUUAUGUUAUCUUCCACCAGCUGGAUAGGUUCAUACCCAACAGAUCAGCUAUGGAUUUUGACUAUGCUCACUACGCCCUCACCGAAGGGAGGAAAGGUCAGGAUCAAGCUGCAGCGGUAAGUUCACCAACCAAAGAGGCCUACAGGAAGCAGUUGGCUGAGACCAUGAAUCUCAAUCACACCCGCAUCCUCGCCUUCAGAAACAAACCUCAAGCUCCUAUAGAUCUGCUUCCCACCACUCACUCUGCUUCUCUUCACCAACAGCCUAAAUCCGUGAAACCUCGCAGGUAUAUUCCUCAGGUAUUUAUGGCGUUUGAUCCUUAGAGUCCAUCUACUUGUUGCUGUUAUUGGAGUUGUAUUGAUCUGUUGUUUAACUUUUUCUCUUGUAAUAAUAGACUUCUGAGAGAACCUUAGAUGCACCUGACAUUAUGGAUGACUUCUACCUCAACUUGCUGGACUGGGGCAGUGCUAAUGUCCUAGCCAUAGCCUUGGGGCACACUGUUUAUUUGUGGGAUGCUUCCACUGGUUCUACAUCUGAGCUUGUCACCGUUGAUGAAGAGAUGGGACCUGUCACAAGUAUCAACUGGGCUCCUGAUGGUCGUCAUGUUGCAGUUGGACUCAACAACUCUGAAGUCCAGCUCUGGGAUUCCGCUUCAAACCGUC